rnacentral:lncRNA from 1 species
AGACAGACAGAUGGAAGAGAAAGCAUGCAGCGGAGAGGAGGAGAAACAAAGCGUGUUGACUGAGGAAGUGUGCAUGCCAUGCGGGCCAUGUGCUCGUCUACGUCCCAGCUCGCCGACUCUCGCCGCUCUGAGACUCACUGCAGCUUCUCCUGCUCAAGUCUCCCACUUUUCACUCUAAGGUAGGACCGUCUUUACUUGUUCCUGUGUGUUUCAAAGAGUUUGUUUCGCCUCUUUUCUCGCCUUUUUCCACCUUUUUUUUUUUUUUCACCCCAUGCUGUGCUGCUUUUUUUUUUUGUUGGGUUUGAUGAUGCCAGAGUGAGAAAAAGUUUGAGCUUUGUUUUAAAUGCUGCAUGAUUUGAUUUUGCAAAAGCACAAAAUGUUGAAUUUCACAUGUUGAAUUCAUGCAAAAAAAAAAAAAAAAACUGUGGUGCAAUUUAGUCAAUGUUGGCAGGUCUGGCUGUUUGUUGCCAUGUGUGUGUUGGUGUGUGUGUGUGUGUGUGUGAGUGAGUGUUUGUGUGGUGGUCUGGUAUACUGGUAGAAUAUUGGCAGGACUGAGGAAUGUGUGAGAUCUCUUUGUUCCCUCUCUCUCUUUCCCUCUCUCUCUCUCAUUUUCUUCUUUUUUCUCUCUGGGGUUGCACACACACACACCACACACACACACACACACACACACACACACACACUCUCUUACACACACAUACACACACAUGCAGUCAAACCAACUCUUGCAGAAAACCAGUUGAAACUUCCCACCGGCAGGAGAGAAAUGUCUGGAAUGUGAUUAUCACGUAUUUGUGUUUAUUUUAUCACUGCGGGUCGCUCGCAAAGCAAAGAGGAAACCAGAUCAGGCGCGUGCACGUCACUUAGCGUGCAAUAAUGUGUGUGUAUGUGUGUGUUCAUGUGUGUGCGUGGUGCUGGUGGGUGGGUGGGUGGGUUGGGAGGGGACAGGGUAGGAGGGUAAAGAGUGAGAGCUAUUUGGCAGUGCACGUGAGUGUGUGGGUGGUUGUGUGGGUGUCAGGGUGAGUGGGUGCAGAGCUCUUUGAGUGAGAGCACAUGUGACUCUGAGUGUGUGUGGGUGUUGAAUGUGUGUCUGUGUGCGUGCACAGAAAGGUGAAAAGUAUGUGUGUGCAAAGGUAAGGUGAUUGUGUGUUUCCGAGUCUACCUUUGCAUCAAACGGAGGCAGAGGAAAGACAAAAAAAAAACUACUCCUCUUUCCAAAACCUUUUGCUGUCCCUCUUUCUUUCUUUCUCUUACAUGCACACACACACACAUGUACACACACAUGCACACACGCAAGGUUCAGGCGCCUGUCAAACCCAGUGCAUUCCUGAGAGCUCGAACACACGGAGUCUGAAUGGUGGGAUGAAUGCGGGGAAAUUCAGCUGAAACGUGAGGACAAAAGCCAGGGGGACAUUUAAGAGGGUUUAACUCGGCAGAACCCUGGGAAUCAGGGAGGAAACACACACACACUAAAACACACACGGAAACACACAUGCACGCUUGCAUUAGCGCAUGCCUGCACGUGCACUGAAAUGAACUGUGUAUACAUCUCGACACACACACACAUAUGUACAGCUGCGGCUCCAACAGGCUGUUAGAGCCGGGAACGGAGGGGAAUUCCCAGGGAGGAGACAGUGAAAACACACACUGCACCUCUGAAUGUACACACACACACACACAUACACAUGCACACACACACACACACAAAGGCCCAAGAAGCCAACACACUGCGCUGCAGGUAUCUCUGCAGUCCAUUAGUAAACCAUCGAGUUUCACGGCGAGCUGAAGAAUAAAAUCCUCAGAAAUGUGCAAAAAAAAAGUCAUGAAUUCUCUGAGACGUUUAAAGCUUUACAUGUCAACUUAAAAGCUUUUUAAAUCACAAAUACACACAUUUUUAAAACAACCUAAAACACUCUUUUAUCCACGUUAAAAAGAUUGCACAAAUCCCCUUUAAUGUGGAGCUUUACGAUGUUUUCAGUCAUCAUAUCAAAAAUCUUCCUUGCUGGUCUUUCAAUAAUGCACCACGUCAGGUUUUUAUUCAUUUAAUAUACCAUUCCUUAGAGUGAUGUCUCCUUUUUCUGUGUGCGGUUAUGAUUCAGCCGAGGUUUUAAAAGAAAAAAAAGCGGCAGGUGUUAAAAAGGUGUUCUGAUAAUGCCAAAUUUUGACAUUUCUCCAAAUCUUAAAAGCCUGAACCCGCCUGAGAGGAGCUCUUACGCCGCCGCACUGAAACUGACUGGUUUCCAAAAUGAAUUUGCACUUUAAGAACCAAAUUGAUGCAGAUUACCUGAGAGAGAUUUUCUACUUUUCCCUGUUGAAGAGAAAUUCAGUCCCUGUCCAGCUUUAAUAAACCACCUGGAAUUCCCUGAAGGACCUUUAAAGACUCCAGGAACUGCUUUGGGAACCUUUUUAAGUGCACACAGCAAAGAGGGGGGGGAAGUGCAUCUCAUUGUGUGCAGGAUUUUUCUUUUACAGUUGAAAAGCGUCAUUUUUGUUGCUCUAAUUUCGUAGAUUUGAUUGCUAUAAUCUUCUCGAUUUUCUGAAAAUAAAGGGACUUACUUGUGAAUUACUUAUUUAAAAAAACACCUUUUGGAUUUUGUUUUUCUCAUCUGCAUCUUUGCAGAAACAAAGGAAGUCUGAUUUUUUUCAAUGACAUGAAGGUGUAACAGCUGUUUCGCAAAUGCACCUGGACAGCUUGCGAAAGACCGCCUAGAAAUUUCUUAAGGACCCUAAAAGGUUCCAGGAACCUGCUUGGAGAUCCUUUUUUUAAUUGCACCGCCUGCAAGACAGAAACUGCGAAGAAAAAAAUCCAUUUAGAGCCGAGAAGAAGGAGUUUUCUUUCUCAAAAUUUACAGCUGAAGUUUGUGAAAUUGUUUUCAUUUUUGAGAGAGAAUAAAAAUUAAGUCGCCUCAUAGAUCACUCUCUGGAUUGGACAGUUUUAAGAUCGAUACAUCAUUUGUGGUUCACCAGGAAAGAAAGCAAGAUCUUUUUGUCAGUAAUUAGAAACCGAAUGAUGGAAUUCUGCACCUGCUCAGUUUGAUAAAGUCUCCAUGGAUAUUUCUGAAGGACUCUAAAAGGUUCCAGGAACCUGACUCGAGAUCGGUCGUGAUUGCACGACACCAGAAACCGAAAAUGUGCAUCGAAUUGUGUGAAGAUUUUGCAGCAAAGUUGCAUCUUUAAUUAAAGAAAUCAUCGACAUUUAUGGAAAAAUGACAAAAGAAUCAAACUGUUUGAUUUUUGCUGUUUUGUCACUGACGAUAAUUCCUAUUUGCGACUAGAAAGACAAGGAAAUCUUUCUGUUUUCAAUAAAAGCCACUUCAGUUGGUUCACCAAUAAUGAAAUUCAGCACCUGCUCAACCCUCAAGGACCCUAAAAGGUUCCUGGAACCUUUCUUUGGAUGCCUUUUCAUUGCACAGCAUGAAAAACCGAGAUUGAGCAUCAGAUUGUGUGAGGAGGUGAAGUCAGAAGCGUUAAUGAAGGGUUAGAAAAUAUGAGAUUGGUUGAGUAAAUGUUGCACCGUCAGUUUUCUAAAUCGUCCAGACCUAGAGGAGAAUUUAAAAGGAUUCGAUUUUGCUGUUUUUAAAGGAUUUGUUAUUAAAUCUGCGUCUUUAUCUCUGACUUUAAAGUGAAAGUUUGUGUCUCAGGUUUAGAUUCCAUCAGGUGUUUGUCUGAAAAUCUGGAUGUAAGUGGACAUUAGAGGUCAACCUUCCUCUCUGCCUCCUGCAUGCUCUAAGUGGGGGGUCAGGGGAUAUUUGUUCUGACCUGAAAUCAACUUCAGAACGAUAGAGCCGCAGAAUCAGAUGCCCCUCUGCUGAGAAACAAGAAGGGAAACACCUGGGAUUAUCCCCAAUCUGUGCAGCUUUUGCAUGUUUCAGAUUGAGCUGAUCUGCUGUCUGUGUGUGUCUGUGUGUGUGUGUGUGUGUGUGUGUGAUGGAAAAAGUGAUGAGUAAUACUCGGGGAUCUUGACGCUCAGUUCAUGUUCAGUUUGGCGCAUAAUUGAUUCAGCUUGAUCUGGUUUAUGGAGCUGAAAAUGAGACAAAAAGCAUGUGAGCGAUUUCCUGAUUUUACGCUCCAGUCACGAGAGUCGAUGAUGAUGAUUGGAGAGUCGAAUUAAAGGUCAGGUUGUGAUUUUCAAGAUGGUUCAGGUGAAUUUGAUGCAGUGAAAAGGUCACGAAUCAUGUGAGGUAAUUAAGGGUGGAGAAAAAAUGUGAUAAAACGCAGCUUUCAUGAGGAGAACCUGACGUUAUUUCGCCGAUAACCUGCGUCUGAAAGGGUUAAAUGAAUCUGGUCAUGAGAUUUACAGAAAGACAUUUGAUUGAAGAUAUUUCUGGGAAGUUUAGGUUGAAGAAAAAGUACCCAUCCCAAAUACCAGAAAGUGAGGUCAUAAGUGAGGCGAUAAGAGAAAGAGUGGGCACAGUAAUUUAUUCAGGGAAUUUCACAAUAUGAAGCAGCGAGCGAGCGGCUGAUAUUGUCAGCGAGCUGCAGAGAGCUCAUAAAGCUGCUCAGACCUGUGCCGCCGCCGCCGCCGCCCAGCCCGAGAAUCAAACAAGAAGAAGCCGAGAAAACAGAAGUUAAUUUCCCAGACUGCUGCAGAGAGUCACUCUGAGAAAAACUGAGAGUGAUGAGGUCUGCACGAGGAAGAGGAGGAGGAGGAGCAGGUGAGCAAGAACAAGAACCUCGAAUUUAUACUAAUGUAGAUGCAUGAGUUUGAGUUUCAGCAGGUACAAUCCCUCUGCAGGUGUAUUUCCCCACAGGGAGAUGAGAUAGAGAGGCAUCAGUCCAGAUAUGAUGAGAGAGCGUUUCACAUUCACUGUUCACUCACAACCGACUCAAAAUACAAGAAUAAAGAGAGAGUCUGAAGAAUUUAAGUUUCCACGCUGCUUCAGUUUGAUGUUUUCUUCAUCAGAUUGGUAAAAAUAGCUUUUCUUACAUUCAUGUUUUUGUUAAAAAAUAAAGCAAUAAGGGAGAAAAGGAUGUUUCUUUUUAAACGGUUUCAUAAAAAUGCACAAUUCUGGCAUUUCUGCAGCUUUUAAAAGCCUCAAAUCAUCUGCGAGAAGCUUUUUAAACCAGAGAGAGGUUCAGAAACGAGCAUUUAAAACACCAAAUGGAUUCAGGUGAUUUCAGAUCUGCAUGAGAAGGAAGGAAGGAAGGAAAUCUCUCUGUUCACUCACCUGUUGAGCCUCAAGUGAAUUUCAGCUUGAGAAGGACCUGCUUACAGAAAUGUGUUUGUAUCCUGUGAAAAAAAUGAAUAAAGAAAUGAUUAUUAAUAACCAUGAAGAGUGAAAGUUGUUCUGUAUAUGAAGCUGCUUCAGUUAUUAAAAUCAGAGGAUUAGAAGGUGGAAUAACGGAGAGGAAAAAUGAACAUUCGCCUGCCAUAAAAUGAUGUUUCUGAGGGGUGAAUUAUUCCCUUUAGCCUCUUCAAAUGUGACAGAAAAGAAUAAAGUCUUUAAUUAUCAAGAGCAAAAAUUAGAGGUAUAAAUGUAAAAGAAAAAUGCUGUAGUUAUCCAGCAAAUCCUGCAGCUCUAAAUCUUAAAAUCAUCAAAUUUUGAUCAAACACAGAAGAUUUGUUUCAGUCUAAAACUCUCAGUUUUUGCUUUUUCUGCAGGAUUUUUUAACUCUUAUCUAAAAGUUUUGUCUCUUUAAUUUGCAUGAAUGAAAUGUGCAUAAUUGGAGUGGACUCUGCUUCACUGAAUUAACGUGUUUCUGCUGUAAAAGCACAAAUUUAGACAGGAGUUUCGUUUUUUUUCUCCAUAAUAAUUAAAUUCGGGACUUUCUCUUUAAGUCGUGCUCUCUGCUUCAUCAUUUCCCUCUUUUAUUCCCCUCUGUCAUUCUUCACCUCUCUCGGAGUUGUCACAGUCUUUACUGCACUCAGACUCUCCGCGGGCGCACCGGGCGCACCGGGGACGGUCCCCGCAGCGUGGGGGGGCGACACGAGGAAGUAGAGAGGGAGGGGAGGGGGGGUUCUUUCUUGCGGGUAGACUGAGGCUGACUCUGGGGACGGAGCUGCGGCCGACUGCCGCAGGUUUUGGGGGAACCAGCUUCUCACUCUGAGGUCGCCGGGGCAUUUCCGAGCGAUCCGGGGUAAAACCCGGCUGACACACAGAGACAAAACAGAGAGAGAGAGAGAAAGAGAGAGAGAGUGAAAGAGAGAGAGAGAGCGAGAGAGAUCAGGGCACAAACAGCCUCAGAAACAUCGAUCCUCCUCCUCCUCUCUUCUGCAGAUAUCUGCGGCUGUCUGAGCUCGUUUCACGGACACUUUUACGCGCAGCUCUCGGUGAUGUUUGAUUUGGUCUUUUGUGUUUCUGUGCGCAGAGGACAAAACCAGGAGAGCUGACUGAGCCUGCACACGGGGGAAGGUGUCUGGAAAAAGGGAGCUGAUUUUCUCCUGCAACUUCUAAAUCCAAUGGCAGCGACACCGAAGAACACAGGUAACACAUUUAUAUUCUUAUCCGUGAUUUUAACACAGAUUUGAACAUUUUUAAGAGACACUUUUACGCCUUAAAAUCAUCCAAAAUUUCUGCUCCAAAUCAGAGAACUGUUGAUGCAUGUUUCUAUAUCAUAUUCCUAAAUUUGACUUUAUCACUGUCGGUGUGUUUGAGUUGUGUUGGCGUUGUUUGUGCGUUCCUGCAGCAGUGUGUGUGUGUGUGUGUGUGUGUGUGUGGUGAGACUGUUGAACAUGGCAUUGCAACAGUGUGUGGUCUCCUCCAGCUCUGGCAAGACUAUUGUGCACUCUUCACGUGCGCAUUUGUUCGUGCGCGUGCUUGCUUGUUGGUGUGUGUGAGAGAGAGAAAAGAGAGAGAGAGAGAGAGAAAAGAGAGGGAGGGAGGGGGGGAGAGGAGGAAUGUGAGUCGGGCUGGAGGAAAUUCUUGUGUUUUGGAAUGCGUUUACCCCGGGGGGAGACCCCGUGACUCCGGGAGAGAGAGAGAGAGAGAGAGAGAGAGAGAGAGAGAGAGAGAGAGAGAGAGAGAGAGAGAGACAGGGGUGUGAUUGCAUGGCUUUCUAAGAAAUAAUUGAAUCAUUGGUGUUAUGCUGUUUCAUGCAAGUCUCAUGCAAAUGCAGUGACAGUGAAUAUUUCAUGAUGAACAUUUUUGCAUAUUUUUAUGAUCAUUUCUCUCUCUCUGAGGAAGAGGACUAUAAUUAAAACCAUGCACGCUCACUUUCACACACACACACACACACACACACACACAGCGGCUCUGCAUCCAACAGGGGGAGCUUGUGACACAUGGAGCUGGAAAAUCAGUUAUUAAUGUGACACUAAUAUCAGCCUUCAAUUUCACAUGCGUUAACAAAGAGACAGUCAUUUCUUUUAGCAAAACACUCCGUGAAAAGUGGAUGAAAGGGCAGCUCAGACUUGCUUCCCCCUCGGUUCUUGGCAGAUUCUGCGUCUUUUAAAAUGGGACAUAGAUUUUAAAAAAUGUCAAAAAGUGCGUCUUAAAAAUAUGAAACAAAUGCACAUUUCAGAGGCAGACAUAGUCUAUGAUAAGAGCUGGAUUUAGCAGCUUUCUUUCUGCAGAACAUGCUGGACGUCUCCUACCUUGCAUUAAAGAAUACAUGCACGGUAGUAUUUUGGGAAAUUCAUCUAAAAUAUGUUAAAAUUUAUCUAUUUUAAAUCUCUUUUAGGCGAAGAUGUUUUGCACAUUUCAGAGGCAGACAUAGUCUAUGAUAAGAGCUGGAUUUAGCAGAAUGGUGAUUUCUUUCUGCAGAAUAUGCUGGACGUCUCUUACCUUGCGUUAAAGAAUACAUGCACAUGUUAGUAUUUGGAGAAAUUCAUGUAAAAAAUGUUAAAAUAUAUCUAUUUUUAAUCUCUUUUAGGUGUUAAAGGUGUUUUGCACAUUUCCAAAAUAUCACUCAAGCAAUAUUACCGCAAGGCGUCGACAAAAAGAGCAUUUUAAGUUCAUAUUAUUAACAAACAAACAAGAUUAAAUCAAGUUUCUGCCAACUUCCUCCAACAGGCAGAAACCCCGAGCAGAACCAGACUGAAAUCUCCCCCCCAAACUCGUACGAACUCGCUGGAUUCGGAUCAUUUAGCACGUAAAGAAGGAGACAUUUCUAAAAGCAUUAGAGGAAACUUCUCCCUGAAGUCUAAAUGAUGAAUUUUUGGAGAUGCUGUGAUGCUCAGCAGGAACUCGCCGCCUCGCUCUGAUGUGUCGCACAGUCAGAACAGAAAGCAUCCAUCACUCUGAAUGUGCUCUGCUAAAAUCAAGUGUUAUAUUGUGAAGUAUUCAGACAGUCACAUGGCUGUAAACACAUGCACACACACACACACACACACACACACACACACACACACACACACACACACACACACGCGCGACUGUUGCAGAUGAUGUAUUCGUUUUAAAAAGCCGACAGUGUUUAUCAUUCCCUGCUCUUAAAACUUGCACAGAAGUUGUUUUUUUUUUGGAUGUAAGCGUUCACCGGACAGACUGGGGUUAGAGUCCCGGUUGGUAUUGGACAGAGAAGAGUGUUUCUGGAACAGCGCUGCAGACUAAAAGCUCGCCCACACACAAAUGUGAGAUAUUCUAAUGAGCAAUCUGGACCAUCUGAAUAUUAUAUUCCUCUUCGCAGUACAGACGUGUUACUUUGUGCAACUCUUAUCAUUUCUGGUUUAUAAAAAAAAAAAAAAAAGUCUGUGUUUUAGUUUGAGAAAGGUGUGAGUGAUGAGGAGACGAUAUGAGUGACGUGAUCCUCUGCCACCUGUCUUUCACAGCCUCUUCAUCAUCAUCGGUUGAAAAGGAAGCAACAACCAGAGAGCUCCUGUCCUGUCCUGCUGGUAAGAAUAUCACACAUUAUCUCUGAUUUUAAGUGUUGCUGAAAAAGUGUGAAUUCAUGUAUCGAGUGGAAAAGUUAACCCUGGCAGCAGAAACUCGGCUCUUUUCUUCCACUCAGAGGGUUUUUCGUUAAUUUGAGAGAUUAGUUGGUGAGAGUUUGUGCAGGGGGAGAGAAUUUGACAAACUUUUCCUCCGUUCCUCGGUGUCACUACAGCAGAUCAAACCCUCCCUGUAGCUGUGAUUUAAAAAUAACCGAGCUCAGUACAGUAGCCAUGUGCACAUGAAACAUUUGACUUAAUGUAAACCCAAAAAAUAACAAUCAGGCUGCGUGAUUCACACACACAUCGAGCGUGUUCAGCCCACACACUCCCACGUGUUUCCCCUUCCUCUGCUGCCUCAGAUGUGAGGCACAUGACAUCAUUAAAGAGGUGCUCUAAAAUCAGUGUGGGUACUGCGUGUGCGUAGGCAGAGAGUGUGCGUGUGUGUGUGUGUGUUGUUUCUGUGUGGGUGCAGGAAUGAAAGCCAAAGCUCCAGAGCCGUGGGCCCGGUGCUGGCUGCCUGUGUGUGCCCAGCCGGAGGCUCUGGUCCUGGGCUGCGCUGCCUCCCACGCUGGGGUUCGGUCGGGGCUCUGAGUGGGAGGAGGAGUGGGAGGAGGAGUGGGCCGGGGCUGUGAGUCAGCCUGCUGCAAAGCCCCCAGACGGGAGACCGCUGAGGGAAGAAACACACCACCACACAAGAGUCUCCUCUCCCUGCCGGCCUUCGCAGAAACGUUAAAGUUUCUAAUGAGGAGGAUCAGACGGGGGGGACGGAAACACUCUGCAUCAGCUCAUCUCUGAAUGAGUUUUCUGCAGACACGUUUGUAAACACAAAAUAGACUUAAGGAGUUUUUUACUUCUUAGUUUGUUUUGUUUUGAGAUGAUCCAGGUUUAGUUUCUAUAAAUGUCAGAGCUGUUGCUAUAAGACAGUCAUUUUGCGUUCGGCAGCUCUGUGAUUCCUCAUGAUUACUCUUGCAUGUUUGACAUCCAAAUGUGCAACUACAGCAAAAACUGCUUUCUCCAUCUGUGCCUGUGUGCCCCUUAAAUGAAGGAGCUGUACAUCAGUUUACUCACGAAAUGGCAUAGAUAUAUUCUACAUUUGUGGAUGCACAUACAUGAACUUUGGGGAAUGACCGAAAGAACGAGAUCGUGGAUACAAGUGGCCGAAAUGGGUUUCCUCCUUGGAGAUAGGGUAAGGAGCUCAGACACUCGGGAGGCGCUCAGAGUAGAACCGUAGGAGUCAGCUGAGGUGGCUCGGGCAUCUGGUUAGGACGCCUUCUGGACGCCUCCCGUUAGAGGUGUUCCAGACAUGUCCCACCGGGUGGAGACCUCGUGGCCGGCCCAGGACCAGAUGGAGGGAUUAUAUCUCUCACCUGGCCUGGGAGCGCCUGGGAAUCCCCCCGGAGGAGCUGGUGGAAGGGGUUGGGGUGAGGGCUGUUUGGGCUUCCCUCCUGAAGCUGCUGCCGGGAGCUGAGAAUGACGUCACUAGUUACCUGAGUGACCAGUGUUUCAGUUACGGAGUCGGAAAAAAGCAAAAACUGAGGCAGAAACAAGAUGGCUACAUCUACGAAAGUUAUUUCAGCGCUUGCCUCGGAUAUUCGGAUAGGGCAAUCGCUAAAAUAACUUUCGUAGAUGUAGGUAUCUUGUUUCUCCGAUGGAUUUUCAUUUUUUCCAACUCGGUAAAUGAAACAAUGGUAACUCGGGUGUGACGUCAUUUUCAGCUCCGACAUCUGACCUCCGAGGUAACUUGAAUGCAGCGGACAUCAGCUACCCUGCUGAAACUGGGUUUUUGGGGUCAACUAAAGUCUUAUUUUAGUUUUCUUUCUUUUUCUUCUAUAAGAUGAGAUUACUAAGCGUAUACUCCACUUGCAUCUGCCCCAAACCAAUAGUGCUGUACCUGCUCGGUUCAGUGAAUACACUCCCAGUGAGUCUGAUCAUGAGAGGAAGAUUUCAACGUCUAUAACGUUUUUAGAAAAGUUGAAGACAGAUUUGUUUUUAAAGCUGUCAUGACAUUUCUGAUUUGUGCUGCUGGGUUUAAAAAUCAGAUGUUAAUUGAUGAGGGUCGUUAAAAUCCCAUUUCAGCAAAUUGUUAAACUCCAUCCUGAGAGGUGGAGGUCAGGUGGAGGGCCGCGGUGACCCGGUGAUCUCAGCAGCGUUUUGUCGCUCUGAUAAUGGAAGGUGGUUCUCCAGGAAACUCAGAGGGAGUCCACCAGUCUGGUACAAGGGGGGGUAGCUGGAGCCAGGCCGGGGCGUGGAGCAGAGCGGUGCAGCGGAGGAUAGGGUGGGUGGGUGGGAAAUGCAUUGGCGUGUGGAAGCGAGGAGGAGGUGGAAGAGUGGGAGGAGGAGGAGGAGGGACGGGCGUUAAAAGAGGCAGGCGAGGAGCGUGAGGGAAGGACGGGGAAGUGAGAACAGGAAACGCUGGUCGGAGUGGAAUGUUUCACAAGAAGGCUUCUCCGCCCUGCGAGCGUCAGGACGAGGGCGUCUGCUGCUCAGACAGCCACCAGCCAUCCUCACACACACACACACACGUACACACACACACACACAUUCUCCACAGUGUGACCCCUCACCGCUUUGGCAGGGUUAGCUUUUAUAUCCUGUGAGCAGAGGAGUCACUGCCUGGACUGAGCAGCUCUGUGUGACUGCAGGACAGAGAGAGAGAGAGAGAGAGAGAGAGAGAGAGAGAGAGAGAGAGAGAGAGAGAGAGAGGGGUGUACUGGAGCUGGUUUUCCUCUGACACCUCUGAAGGGAAGAGGAAGAGGAAAGGGGGAGGAUGAAGAGGAAAGGAGGAGCAGAGAGGAGAGGGACUCACAGGGCAGGGAUGAUGGGGUGGAGUGCUGCACCGCUGGGGUCCUUUAAAGGAGUCACUGCGUGUUUACUGGAAAUACAAAAGCAACAUUUGUAGCAUCACAGCCAGGUUAUAAAUUUUAAUGUGCGUUUGCUCGUUAAUAUGGAAGAUGCCGAAAAAAAGGCUGUUUUAGCAGUUCUGCUGGCGUGCAUCUCCACCUGUAGUUCUAAACAUUUCAAGUAGCUGUUCAAAAAGUACAGAUUUUUAUGUUAAUGGUUAGAUUUUCUGUUUUGAUUUUUGGACGGGAAUAUCCCAAUUGGUAACGGAAAAGUCUUUCCUUUGCAUUUAAUGGAAGGCCAUGUUCAAAUCAGAGCUGGAGUUUUAAUUUUAGUUAUGAUUUUAGCUCCUCACAAUCAUAAAAAACUGCUUAUCACGACUGUAUGAUAUUGUGCAGCCCACUUUGUCUUGCUCGUUUUGCCUUUUAUAGUGAAUCAGGUGCUUUUUGUCCUUAAAGGGAUAUUCCAGCGCAAAGUUAAUUUAGGGUCAAACACACUGUAACACCGAGUUACACAACCCCUCGAGAGAUGAAUGUUGUUGACCGCUUGCUUCUCUAGUUAUACCAACUUUAGUCAUGACCGCACGAUAGCAAUACACAGUGGUCUGAGUAGCCACACACAAACCUCAACCAAACGCCACUCUAUAACCAAAAAUAAUGCUCAGAACAGCACCUAACUUCAUCAACAGUACAUAUAGGGUCCCAGCCAUAGUACUAGCCACCAAACAGCUUUUUAACUUUGCCUAAUUUCUUUCAUAAAGAGACUAAACACAACUCACCUACUCUAUUCCAGCAGCCGCUUGUUUGUAGCAAGACCUCAGGUAAAUCCAUUACGGACUGUUGCGGGGGGAAGAACAUUUAUGAUCAUUUCUUCGUGGAAAUGUAAUCAGACCAAGACGCUGCAAAAUGAUUAAUAUGGUGAUUAUUGCGUCAAGGAAAUGAUAAAGAAAUGAUCAUAAAUGUUUUUCCUUGAGCUGUGUCACCCCGCUGUAGUCCGUAAUGGACUGGCCCGAGGUCUUGCUACAAACAAGCGGCUGCUGGAAGAGAGUAGGUGAGUUGUGUUUAGUCUCUUCGCUAAAGAAAUUAGGCAAAGUUAAAAAGAUGUUUGGUGACUAGUGCUGUGGCUGGGACCCUAUAUGUAAUGUUGAUGAAGUUAGGUGCUGUUCUGAGUAUUAUAUGCGGCUAUAAAGUGGCGUUUUGGUUGAAGUUUGUUUAUGGCUCCUCAGACCGCUGUGUAUUGCUAUCGUGCGGUCGUUACUAAAGUUGGUAUAACUAGAGAAGCAAGGGAUCGGCAACAUUCAUCUCUCUAACUGGGGCUGUCUAACUCUGUGUUACGGUGUGUUUGACCCUAAAUUAAUUUUACGCUGGAAUAUCCCUUUAAAAACAGAGUGUGUUCUCAGCCCUUCCCCUAAAACGGGUCUUACUUUCAGUCCAUCGUCAUGAGGUCAGAUCGAUGUGCAUCAAAGUUUGAACUCUCAAGGGAGUUGCAGACUUAAUAACAGACUGCUGUAUCUUCAGUGAGUUGUGCUGCAGCUGCAAGUGGACAGAGGAGAGCAGGAGUUGCUCAUGUGUGUAUGUGUAUGUCUGAAAAGUCAAAAACAGAAACAAAACAGAGAAAUGGUUCUGAAGAUAUAAACAUUCAAGUAAAGGCGAAGAAUGUGGCGCAUGUCCACAAAUCAAAUAUGUGAAGUCUGAAAUAUAAAGAUCAUGGCGACAUACACAAAUAGAGGCUGUAAUUUAUGUAAGAAAUGUUCUGAAUUUAUCUAAAAUGGGAGGUAUAACGUCACAUAUCUUGACCCCAUAGUUUAACCAUUGCAUCACGUUUAAAGUAUUUGUGUGUGAUGUAAUCAGAGACACUUGCAUAAGUGAUGGAAAAUUCAAACAGCACCUAAACGCAUCACUGCUCCAGCUGCUCUGGAUGUCUCAGCAGGCUCAGAGGUGCCGAGGUAUCCCUGAGAGUGUGUAUGUGGAUUUGUGUGUGUGUGUGUGUGUGUGGAUUUGUGUGUGCAUAUUACCCUGUGAUAACCCUUAGUCUCACACACACACACACACUCGUACUGACACGGUGGUUCACACGUUACUGCAGGGCAUUGGAGAGAGAUAAGACACAGAGUCAUGCCUCCCCAGCGUGACAGUGACAUCACAGUUGUAUCUGUGUGUUCACUACCCCAGCACACACACACAUACACACACACACACCUCCCCCUGUGUGCUAGAAAGAGACCAGCCUAAUAUAGUCAGCAUGGAUCACACACACACACUUAGACACACUUCCUCACAGGGCCAGAAGCAAAGGGGAUAAGGUGGGGGGAUCCGCCUGUCAUAUUUCCAUCUCCUGUCCUUGGUUGGUUAUAAGCAUGUGUUCCUCCAGAGCCGAGUGUGUGUGUGUGUGUGUGUGUGUGUGCGUAUGUGGGUGUGUGUGAAUGGGAUGACGUCGCUGUUACGUCUGUUGGUGUCCAUCACUGGCUCAGAGUCCAGUCUUGGCAGAGACAGGUGCAUCCAUGGCUGCCUGUGUGUGUAUGUGCGUGCGUACGGGUUGGUUUUUGUAGCCUAUUUGGGACAUGUCCAGUGUUGGACUUUGCUGGGACUAAUUGUCCUCUAGGGGACCCACUCUGUCCUGGAAAGGCUUUCUCUGAUGUUCUGGCCCUGCUUCCUGUUUAAAGAUAUUGUGUGUAUAAGUCGGUGUGUUGCUGUAUCAGAUGGUUUUUGUUAACUUAUCGUCUCAGAGCUCUGCUUGUGGGGAUCUCGAACCUGUUUUUGGUGCAUCACAGGGACCAUUUCUAAAACAAAAACCCUUCGUAUGGGGACCACUACUUUUUGUAGUGACACACUUGUUAUAAAUGCUGCAAAAAGUUGUUUCUGAUGUUUUUGUUUCACCACCUAGUUUGUGUGUGUAUGUGGAAUCAUUUUUGUUACGUCACAGGGACCUUUUCUCAUAUAAAAGCCUUAUUUAUGGGGACUACUUUGUCUUGUAAUCACACAUCUGUUACAAACACUGCUAAGUGUAAAUCUCAUUUUGUUUUGUGUGUGUGUUUAUGUUUAUUAGAUUGUUCCUGCUGCCUUAUGGGGACCUUGACAAAUAUCAAAACACUACUUGUGGGGACCACUAUUUCUUUAGGACACAAGUUGGCUGCAAUUGCCUCAGAAUGUUAAAUUUGACGUUCCCAUGUUGCCUUAUUUUCGUCGAGUGUGUGUGUGUGUGUGUGUGUGUGUGUGUGUGUGUGUGUGUGUGUGUGUGUGUGUGUUUCUUUUGGUUGUUUUUAUGAACUUAUAAGGACCACUUUUUUUUUUAGGGACAACUUGUUACAAAAGUCUUUGCUGAUAUCUCAAUUUUGCUUCAUUUUGUUAGCCCGCAUGCUAACUUUGUGAGUUUAAUGUAUAUGUUUGUGAGAGUGCUUUGCUUGCAUCAGGGAGGCUUUGUUCAACAUUAAAACUCCACUAAUAGGAACCGCUGAAGUUAAAUCUGGCAAGCAAUAUGUGAUCAAUGUCAUGUUGUGUAGCAGCCAUUGCUGUGUUAGGGACUCCCUGAUGUUAGACAGCUACUGAUGAAGAUACCUUGUUGAAAAGAUCUAAACACAUUUUUAGAGUUAUUCAAUUAGAUAGCUUUCAGAGAGAUUGAGAAAAGAAAAGGCCUGACCUGCCCUAUAUUUUUGCCCAAAUGCCAGGUAAAUGCAUUCUUAAUCUACCUUGCUAGUCUCAUGAACCUGUUAACAACUGUGUCUAUCAUCACAGACUAGUUGCACCAGCAAAUAUAUUUUUUAUGUUAUUUUUUAUUUAGCUUAUACAUUUUUAAAUCAUUCAGUUGCUACCACAACUGAGUAAUUUUAACAAAGCUAAGCUUGUCAACAAACUCGCCAGCUGGUAAAAUAACGCGAUACAAGAUUGUUUCAUCAAUUUUCUGGUGAUCAAAAAUAAAUUGAAAUCAACAGGUCACUUAGUAAUUGGCUUUUUUUGUUGUGCAAAGUUAACAAGGUUCUUUUAAUUGCUACCAACACUGUUGUCACAAAUAAAACUGUACAAAAAGUAAACACUAAUCACUCCUGAGCGCAAAGUACGUUCAAAACACUGAGAUUUUGAAGUAGGUGCCACUGCAGCAAAGCUUGUAACAUUGGUUUAUAGUGGUGAAUCUGUCACAUAUGCUUAAAAAAGUCAUUUGUUCAGGUCCUGCUUUUUGGUAUUUAAGUGUAGGAUGUGUUUUGUCUCAUAAAGACGCUUACAUCCAUGCAGAAACAUUGUAUAUGUACAGAAUUAUGGUCCUUACGGGGACCUGCCCACUACAAUCAGUAACAGUGAAAUUUACACAAACACCCCCGCUGGCUGUCCUUUACAUUCUUUCUCUUUCCUGUUUGAAUUCUUCGACUUUAUCUCUUCAGAUUCUUCUCCUCUCUCUCUCUCUCUCUCUCUCUCUCUCUCUCUCUCUCUCUCUGUCACUAGCAGCUCUGGUCAGCCAUUAAACUCCCUCUUAAGCCAAACCAGCAGAAUUCCCAGGCUGCUCGGCUGCCCGGGUUCACACCUUUUUGUCCACAGGAAUCUCAGGAAUCCCCAGCUUCCUUUUCCACCGCAAUCUCCAUUGUGUGUGUGUGUGUGUGUGUGUAAAGCUAUAAGAAGCAAAGGCCCCCGCCUGUGUUGUGUGUGUGUGUGUGUGUGUGUGUGUGUGUGUGUGUGUGUGUGUGUGUGUGUGUGUGUGUGUGUGUGUGUGAAAACACAUCUCCGCCCUUGUACCCACCCAGUUUGUGUCCACAAUAGUGUGAGUCACACUCAAAAACGACAAAAAACUCUCUGUUACUGUGAAACUUUACACUCUCAGACAAACUUGAGUGGACAUUUAGGGUCACAGUGAAAUUGAAGAACACAGAUUUUGUAAAUGAACUUUUGAGUCAGUAAAUACAAACAUAUACAUAUAUAUAUUUUACGUUGACACCAUGUUUUUCUUAUAACAGGCAAAAGUUUCGGGAGGUAACAUUAGCUUGUUAGUACAGGCAUUAAAAGCGUGGGAUACAUCUUAACAAAGAAAUCCAUUAGAGGGAUUUGAGUGAAUGAAAUGGGAUUAGUUUUAUAAAAAUACAAUAUAGAAAUAUUUUUAAAACUGUCAAUGACAAACGGAGUAAUGUGAUCCUGAAAAAUUGUGUUUGCGUGAAAAAAAAAUGACACUUGUAUUACAAAAAUAAGCAUAAAAUGAGGCGUUUAUAGAAUAUGAACAUAUCAAUUAAAAUGAUGAAAGCUUAAUUGUCACUUUUGAUGGAUUUUAACUUGCAGCAGAAAGUGUUAAGGUUCAAUUAAUGAGGAAUACAAAUACGUACAAACUCUGACAUUUUUGUUAUGACAAUAAAUAUUUGAGAGUCAGUUUUUGAAAGUCAUAGUUAUGCUACAUCCAGCUCACUAGCAGCUACUGCUUCUUCAUCAUCUUAACUAUGUCUAAUGAUGUGGCAACCAGCAUGAAGGAGAGAGAGACAAUAUCAUAGUAGAGUGAUAUGAUAUGAUAUAGAACAAAACCCAUGGUCUAAGAUGAUGAUAACACCAAUCACACAAUGAUACAUCACAAAAUCUGAUGAGCCUGAUAACAAAACAUGUCCGAAAAAAAUGAAGUUCACGUUUAAUGCCGUUUGCGUCACCAUGACAAGUCAUAAAGUUAGAUGAAGUGAGUCAUUCCAACAUCUACACAAAGAUGUAUUGUUUUUAAAGUGUCCAUAUUUGACUUCAGUGAUACACAGACUAUAUAUUUUUCUUUCCCUUAUUUUCUGGUCUAAAAUUUGUAAAGGCAAUCCUGCAGCCCUGUUUUCUUAACAUGAAAUUACCCUCAUUGUCAAGCAAAAUAUAUGAAUCUUAGUUCCAGUGAGUCAUUGUUCCUGGCUAAGAGAGAGCAGCUGAGUAAAAAGAAUAAUCUGUCUGAUUUUGGCAGGGAGGAGUCAAAUGAACCAAAAUAGCUCCAGACAAAAAAUUAUUUGUUUUCAGAGUUCUCACAGAGAAACCUCUAAUGAGAGGUGAUACUACGCCCAUCCAGACAAGAGUCAGUGCUCUUACAGUGUGACGCCUGCAGGUUAACACUGCCGUUUGUCCGCACGUCUGGAGUCGUUUACCCUCGCCAGCCCUGACUCAUCCCCCACCGGAGCCCAGCCUGCUGUCGGGGCUCAGCAGCACCCAUUCAACACGAUGAGAAACAUUCAGAAAAACCAAACACCAACCGGACACACGACAGGCUGUGAUUCACACACACCCACUCAAUCUCCAUCCACACAUAAGCAGCCACAGAGGCGUACAGGUCCAUGUCUGAAAUGUUGUUGAAGAGGCCAGCCAGGAGGUGAUCUAAGACAGAGGUUUAAACAUAACAUCAGGAGGAAAGGGAUGGUUCUCAAAGUGAGAAACAAAAACAAAACAAAUAUCUGCUGCAAGUUUGGGACUUUCUCUUAUCUUUCUCAGGGGAAACACAAGUCAGUUUUUUAUUUACCCUUAUAACAACUAUCCAAACAAUCUAAUUGAAGUUGUUGUGAAAAUUUGCUUAAAACUUUUAUGACUUUUAGGCGUUUUAUGACAUGUAACCUUUAACAGACAGAUCUCACAAAAAGCUCAUAUAAAACAUAAAUGGGGAGAAAUACAACAGCUAAAAAGAAAGAGAAUUAAAAGGAAAAUACUCAUUAAAAGUUGCAUCAUAGUAAAAAAAAUUACCUCACUUUGAAAAUUUGUCUGAAACUACGAGGGUGAUGUAUUACUCAAGUAAAACAUUAGCAAAGAAAAGGGCGUUUUUCACUGUAAAGUAGGUCGUUGUAUAAAAAAUACUUUCUAUUUCACAAGUAGAGAAUACAAAGUAAAAUGUAUAACACUGAAAUGAAAAUGAAAGUAAGAGAUUUUCAAAGGAUUAAUAGAUAUUUAAAAGCUUCGAUGAAAAAGAAAAGAGGACUUCGAUGAAAAAAUUGAGCAUAAGAUAAAAGGUAAAGAAAUGAACAAGCAUGGAAAAUUAAGAUGUUAAAAUUCAAGAAAAAGAAGUCUGAAAAGUCAUGAAAAGAAAUUUAUAGUUGGCCGAUAUCAGUUUUAAUGGUUGGUGCCAAUAAUGAAAGAGCAGAUCAGCUGGUGUCUGAUAUAUUCUAUAUCACAUUGUUGUUGUUGUUGUUUUCCAUUUCCAACAAUUUAAUAAGUCUAACAAAUAGUAAACAAAAUCAUAGUUACAUUACAGUAUCUGUUAUUGAUGUGAUAUGAUGUGAUUUGAGAAAGAAAAUUAUCAUUUUGAAAAGAUUAUUGUUCCAUUGGUCUUGUAGUGUUGUUACUUCAAAAUGUUAUUAAUCAUACUAAUUAAUUAGCAGACUAAUUGAUCAGUCCAUCUCUAUUGUGUGUUUCAGUAUCAUCAGCAUGUAUCAGUAUGUUGCAAUCAGAAAUAAUUAGUGGGAGGUUGUCAAUGAAAACUGAAAAAAAGAAGUGGUUUUAAGGUGGAGACAUGAGGCACACCCCUCAGAUAAGCUAAUCAGAUUUUUGACUUUUCACAACAACACUUUGCUUUCUGUUGUGUAAAUAAGAAUCAAAUCAUGGCAAUGCAUGCUGGGAAAAAUGUAUAGUGCAAAGUUUGUCCAAAAGUAGAUAUUGGGCCACCAUCUGAAACAUGAACAACCCUCUGCUUUGUCUCCAAAAGUAUUAACCCAACUGUUUUGAGCAGCACAACAACUGCAGUGAGAGUCACUCCUUGUUUAGAUAUUGCUUCAUAUUCAGGCGCCUAAAACAUCGUCAACCUCUGACCCACAGAGAUUGUCUCGUAGGGUUAACAAUAUAGAAUCAAAGGGAGUCUGCAGUAUUUAGGUCGAAUAUUACUCAACCCUGUUCGUUACAUGACUCACUGAAGUUAUUUAAAUAGUUAUGAAUGGAGCCUGACAAAGCCGCUCCUCCCCUUGUAUGUGUGUGCAUGUUUGCACACCACAAUGUGUGUAACGGGAGCGUAGCAUGGGUGCAGCCCGGCUUUUGAUGAGUCACAUGUGGAUCCUCUGUGAGUAACUAACCAGCUAUGUGAGUCCUGAAGUUUCAGACCCACACAGAAAACCCCUGGUCUCAGAGGGAGGGGGAGGGGCAGGGCAGGGUGGGGCGGCUCUGGACUGUUGAUGGGUGUGGUCUGCAGGAGUGGUGAGGCAGAGAAUAGAUGUGGGGUAAAAUAGCAGGAUGUAGGUGAGGACCGGGAUCUGUGAGUGGAAGGUGGAGGACGGGAUGGUGAGGGCAGAGUAAGGUCAGGAUUAGGGGAAAGAGGUCAUCGCUCAGGGUCAAAAAAUGGUAAUGACUACAUUUUACCUCACCCUGUUAUCUCCCUCUAAAUCUGUUUUUUAAUUUGAGGAGUUUUGUGUCUGUACACUCAGGUACUUUCUUUGAAUAACUCUGGUCACUGCAGAAUAACAUGUUUAUCAGCUUCUGCAUAUCAGUCAGUUUUGGUAAAUUUUGGUACUUUCUCUUUCUGUGGUCACACUCAGCUCUCUGACUCCAGAGGUGUCAAAAGUCCAAACUUUCUUUACCUAUAAACAAAAACAAACUUUUACACAAAAACACAGUGGCAAAAAAGGUACUGUUUAACUUUUGGUUCAACAAAACUCACUGAUAAUGAAUUUGUCAAAGUAACUUUGCAAGUCUGAUAUUGUUUCUAACACUUACCUAAACAUAGAAGGACAUAUAAGUAAUUUUAAAAGUAUUAUAGCCAAGCCUAACAAAACUACAGCUAGAUAUUGAUUCGAGAUUAUCACCUGCAUAAAAAUGUUGAGGUUAGCAUUAAGAAUUGACAAAUGUAUAAUUUUAAAGGUUUAGAUGGUUUAAAAAAAAAGGAAUUCAUUCUUUUGUUUUUUCAAGAAACUUAAAUUUGAUACUGGGAGUUUGGGGUUAAAAGUUAAGAGAAAAACACCAGAAUAUCUACCAAAAUAAAAAUAAAAAAAUUGCAAGUAGCCGCUUUUAAGUAAAGUGCAAUACAAAUACAAUAAUAAACAAUACAAAAGACACAUUACAUGACAAUAUAAGAUGACACAAAACAAUUCAUAAAUAUAUAGUAAAAUAAAAUAAAUCUCAAGAAAAAACAUUGCCUUUAGAUACAAAUCAAAAUAAAAUAACACACCGUAAUGAAAAAAGGUGAUACAGAGUGAUUCCAAAUCAAAACAAAACAUUUCAAAAGGAUACUAAACAACACAAAAUGAUAUAAUAUUAUACAAUUACAAAAUUAACAGUACAAUCAAAAGUAAUAUAAAAUGAUGCAUCAUAUUAAUAUACGAUAUAACGUUAAACACAUAAUAUCAUGUAGUUCAAUGCAAGCCAGUACAAAACAAUAUAGUUGAAAUGAUAUAUUUAAAUUUACAUUACAAUACAAUUUAUCUAUUUAUGUAAUAUGAGAAUUAUGCCGAUUGGCAUGGCAUUAUAUCUUAACAAUAAUUAUAACAAACUAAAUGCACAAGAGUUUAAAGCACGGUAAAACUGCAUAUAUAAUUGUUGUGUGUGUGUGUGUAUGAAUAUAUAUAAAUAAAUAAAUAAAUAAAUAUAUAUAUAUAUGUGUGUGUGUGUGUGUGUAUAUAUAUAUAUAUAUAUAUAUAUAUAUAUAUAUAUAUAUAUAUAUAUAUAUAUUUGUAUAAUUUUGCUGUAAAGUGAUAAAUGUAAACAAAUAUAAUGGAAUUCAUGAAAAAUUUGUCAAGUAUAAAAAUGAGGGUCAGUGUUCAGACUUUUUGGUUACUCAGCCCCCUCCUUGACAGCAUCCUACUCUUUUAUCAUGAUUAUAAAUGCAGUAUUCCUGUAAACCAGUGCAAAAAAUGCAUGAUGUUAGUUCCUACAUUUAGUGGGUAUUUGUGCAUCUGGUUCUGGACAACAACAUAAUGUAUAUUAAGAGAGAAGGCUGGGACUUAAUUAUAGCUUAGUUUGGACUGAAAACGAAAUAUGAAACAGGACUACUUUAGCUUUUAUCUUUUGCAGGUGAUUUUCUGAAACAAGCAUAAGAUGCUCUUAUAUAUUUAUUUGUGUGGGGUGUGUAAACUAUGUGUGUGUCAGUGUGUGUGUGCUGCCAGUGGGGCUGGAAGUCAUAAAGCACCCUCUACUGUGGCCGCUGUGUGUGUUUUCAGUGUGGGGGGGCGGCCGUCCCUGCCUCCUUUCCCUUUUUUAAGAAGCUGGGACCCUUUUUUCUACAGACGCCCCGACUCUCUGGCCAGGGGGAGUUUCCUGCUUUUGAAGACACACACACACACGCUCAGAGAGAGAGAGAGAGAGGGAGGCUGCCCUUACUUUUUCCUCCUCCUCCUCUCCCCCUCCCUCUCUCCUCCUCUCUUUUUCUGAAUGGAUGUCCUCUCUCUAACCUCAAUUGAGCGCUGUGUAACAGGACACUGCCCUCUGCCGCAACAGGCUCAGCCCCCUCUUUAACACUAUAAGAGAGUGCGGCGGCGCUCCCGAGAGCGUGUGUGAGGGAAAGUAUGUCCGACAGUGUCAGUCUGAGGGAGAGAAGGAGGGAGGGAGGGUGAGGGAAAAAGAGAGAGAGAGAGAGAGAGAAACAUGUGAUAGCGUAACUUUGGCGGGGCUUGUUGGGAGUUUAACGGCUGUGGUGUCUCCAGAGCUCUGGGAAAGCACCUUUAGCCCAGAGGGAGCCUCACACACACUCACACACACACACACUCAGACACACACUCAGCCUCUGUCAGUGUGUGUGUGUGAGAAACUGUGUGUGUUUAGAGCUGCUGUUACUGAUUACACUCUGAAGAAUGCAGCAGCAGGAGGAGGAAAAAGAGAGGAGAGACAUGAAAAGAUGAGAUCUUUUAGGAUUUUUUUUUUUGCGUGUGACUUGCUCUCCCAGCCGUGGACAGUGACGUGGGUGAGAAGUUGUUACCCAAUCGCGUCUCUCCCCUUUUCUCUCUCCCUUUUUUUCACUCAAGCAAAGUUAAAGAGAGAGGGGAAGCCGAAGGGAAAGGACACCCAGCAAAGUCAGACCGGUGAGCGUGAGGAGGGGGGGAUCCCUCAUUCCUGAGCCGGGAGGAAACUCACCCAGACGGGUAAGUAAAGAGGAAAAAAAGGGAGAGAGUGUGUGAUAGAGGGGGGCAAUGCUCCCAGAGAGUUGAUGGAUAUCAUAUGUUAGAUGUUAAAGCUUAGGAAACUGCUCCCAGAUCAGUUUGGGAGCAGGAAACGCAGUCAGCUGAGCGUGUUUGUGAAAGUUUGAGCGUCAGGAUGAUCUUUACUCCAUGAGCCGGUGGGUGUCACGCUGUGGGAGUUUGGGGUAGCGUUACCUCACAGAAGAGCUGAUUCACUGUUACAUAGCCGGCUUGUGUGUGUGUGUGUGUGUGUGGAUCACACACUCUUUGAGGGGCUUAUUACAGUUCAAGGAUUAACUGAGAG